AAGUAAACUCCUUGAAAAAACCUUUUUUGGAAUUUCAUCAAAGUAUAAUCAAACUACUAUGAACAAGAUAGUGUUGUAAUCCAACCCAAGUAACAAAUGAAGAAUAAUAAAAAUUUUUGUUUACUUAACCGGAAAGAACCAAGUCGGUGUGCUUACUUAAUAUCCGGCGAAAGAUUAAUAGAGAUUUUGUUUAAUCACUUGACUUAGAAAGAAUUAAUAACUCAAAAUCCUUCGCAAAUUACACCCGUCCGUCCGUCCUUCCGUCCGUCGUUAUUAAUCUCCGGCGAAAGAAGUAUGCGAACGCCAGCUGGAAAACCGAACAACAUCAACGUCGAUGAUCGAAUUCCUCUUCGCAAUUAUUACCGAGUCGCCGAUAAUUUUCUUUAAAAGGCAGACAUAUAUCGAGAAGAAAAGAAUAUUGUAGAUUUGUAUGUUACGCUUCUAAAAUAUUCAAGCUUGAUACUUGAAACUAUAAGAUUUCAUAGUGACUACCAACUUUUAUGUUCAAAGGAACGAGCAUAUACCAAGAAGCAAUUACAUCUGGUGUUAAAUGAACUGGAAUUUUUGAAACCAGCAGUUGAUCAUCAAUUAGUAGCUGGCUUAAACAAGUGUCAUAUUAGAAGCAAAGAAUAUCAACCAAAUGGCCAUGGAGGAAUCCCACAUAGGUCAGGGGAUUCUUCUUCUCUACCACCUGCUGUCAAUAUUACAAUUUCUUUUGGCUCUGAUGAUAAGCAGCUUCACCAAAAGGAAAGUGCACUCUCCUGGAUGCAGAAUCUUAGGUGUACUUUAAGUUGUUUGUUUUGAGGACAUAAACGACUGAUUUCUGCAACUAAAGAUAUCUAAAGAUCCUCAAGCUAUAAAUAUAAUGUUGUUUUGUUUAUUUUAUAAACUGAAUAUUGUCCGCACAAAUAUAAUCUUGUUUUUAUUAUAUAAAAUACCAAACCAUCAUUUGUUAUUUGUUUAUCCUCGAUAUAAAUAGUGUAUAUUUUAUUAUUUUUCAGAA